rnacentral:rRNA from 1 species
UGGGGAAUAUUGGACAAUGGGCGAAAGCCUGAUCCAGCAAUGCCGCGUGAGUGAUGAAGGCCUUCGGGUUGUAAAGCUCUUUUGGCGGGGACGAUAAUGACGGUACCCGCAGAAUAAGCUCCGACUAACUUCGUGCCAGCAGUCGCGGUAAUACGAAGGGGGCUAGCGUUGCUCGGAAUUACUGGGCGUAAAGGGCGUGUAGGCGGCCUAUCAAGUCAGAUGUGAAAGCCCCGGGCUUAACCUGGGAACUGC